rnacentral:misc_RNA from 1 species
AAGUCGUAACAAGGUUUCCGUAGGUGAACCUGCGGAAGGAUCAUUAUUGAACUUUGAACUUGUGGCUUCGGUUGGGAUUGCUAGCUGGCCCUUAACGGGGCAUGUGCUCGCCCAGCCGCUGCUGCAACUUUCUUUGUCCACCUGUGCACCUAUUGUAGGCUUGGAUACCUUUGCUGGCUUUUGUUAGCCAGUGAUUGGAGGCGUGCUGCUUGCAGCUCCCUCUGAAUUUCCAAGCCUAUGUCUAUAACAAACUCAAAUGUAUGUCAUGAAUGUCUUUUGUUUUAAUGGACGCGAGUCCUAUAGAACUUUAUACAACUUUCAGCAACGGAUCUCUUGGCUCUC